rnacentral:rRNA from 1 species
AUUGAACGCUGGCGGCAGGCCUAACACAUGCAAGUCGAGCGAGCGGCGGACGGGUGAGUAAUGUAUGGGGACUGCCCGAUAGAGGGGGAUAAAUACUGGAAACGGUAGCUAAUACCGCAUACUAUCGGAUAACCCAUAUGGGAUUAGCUAGUAGGUGAGGUAAUGGCUCACACAGGCGACGAACCCUACCUGGUCUGAGAGGAUGAUCAGCCACACUGGAACUGAGACACGGCCCAGACUCCUACGGAGGCAGCAGUGGGGAAUAUUGCACAAUGGGCGAAAGCCUGAUGCAGCCAUGCCGCGUGUAUGAUGAAGGCCCUAGGAUUGUAAAGUACUUUCAGUCGGGAGGCGUUACCGACAGAAGAAGCACCGGCUAACUCCGUGCCAGCAGCCGCGGUAAUUC